rnacentral:rRNA from 1 species
UACGAAGGGGGCUAGCGUUGCUCGGAAUCACUGGGCGUAAAGGGUGCGUAGGCGGGUUGUUAAGUCUGAUGUGAAAUCCUGGAGCUCAACUCCAGAACUGCCUUUGAUACUGAGGAUCUUGAGUUCGGGAGAGGUGAGUGGAACUGCGAGUGUAGAGGUGAAAUUCGUAGAUAUUCGCAAGAACACCAGUGGCGAAGGCGGCUCACUGGCCCGAUACUGACGCUGAGGCACGAAAGCGUGGGGAGCAAACAGG